GAUGAACGCUAGCUACAGGCUUAACACAUGCAAGUCGAGGGGCAGCAUGGACAUAGCUUGCUAUGUUUGAUGGCGACCGGCGCACGGGUGCGUAACACGUAUCCAAUCUGCCCGUUACUCGGGGAUAGCCUUCUGAAAGGAAGAUUAAUACCCGAUGGCAUGUAUUUCCGGCAUCGGAGAUACAUUAAAGAUUUAUCGGUAACGGAUGAGGAUGCGUACGAUUAGCUUGUUGGCGGGGUAACGGCCCACCAAGGCGACGAUCGUUAGGGGUUCUAAGGGGAAGGUCCCCCACACUGGAACUGAGACACGGUCCAGACUCCUACGGGAGGCAGCAGUGAGGAAUAUUGGUCAAUGGUCGGAAGACUGAACCAGCCAAGUAGCGUGAAGGAUGACUGCCCUACGGGUUGUAAACUUCUUUUGUUUGGGAAUAAAAGACGCUACGUGUAGCGUUCUGCAUGUACCUUACGAAUAAGCAUCGGCUAAUUCCGUGCCAGCAGCCGCCGUAAAAC
rnacentral:rRNA from 1 species